rnacentral:rRNA from 1 species
UACGAAGGGGGCUAGCGUUGUUCGGAAUUACUGGGCGUAAAGCGCGCGUAGGCGGAUCGCUAAGUCAGGGGUGAAAUCCCAGGGCUCAACCCUGGAACUGCCUUUGAUACUGACGAUCUGGAGAUCGGGGGAGGUUGGUGGAAUUCCGAGUGUAGAGGUGAAAUUCGUAGAUAUUCGGAGGAACACCAGAAGCGAAGGCGGCCAACUGGCCCGAUACUGACGCUGAGGCGACGAAAGCGUGGGGAGCAAACAGG